GUGUGUGUGUGUGUGUUUGUAAGCACCUGAAUACCACUACACGAGUAUGAAUACACACGUUUUAUCCCACUACAUUUUUUCUUCCCACUACAUGCACCCGUGUAGUGGGAAGUAAAAUCGUUCGGAAACGUUAUUUCUCAUCGUACUUGAUUCAAAAAAUAUAAAAUUGUACUAUGUUUGGGUUUCCGGUGUGUAUGUGGAUUUUUUUUACACGCAUCGUGGAGUCCAUAAGAGUACUUUACACACUUUCCUCCAUUGGAUAUAAAUAGCGCAUGCGCAAUCGGAACUUCCUACUCAAAGAUGGAAAUAAUUGUUUACAAGACUCAAAACCAAAAAUUUUGUUUGCAAAUAGUGACUGAUGUGCCUUAUGAUGUAGAUGUUGGAUAUUGUGCUUUUCCAGAGAAAUGGCCCAAAAUGGAAAGCAUCUGCAGACAAUGACUGAUAUGUUUUUUGAUGCAGAUGUUUAAAAUGAUGCUUUUGAAGGAAAAAUAUCCAAGCUAAAUGAGGUUUCCUGAGAAAAGUGUUUGUCUCACAUGGAAAAGCCGUUGUCUAAGAUUAUACAUAUUAAGCACCAGUGUUCAGACAUAGGUUAACUUCCUAGAUAGACGAUUGAGGACCAAUAGUGUCAACGGAAAAAAAAUCUACGCCAUGAAUAUUGCUUUAAUCAAUACUGGUUUAGAAAUGAUAAUGAAACUCUGGUACAUUUUUUAUUGAUCGUGUGGUUUUCAUGUAUUCUCCCAAAAAUGAAGAUAUGAGAGAAUUAAUACACUUUUUACAUGUACAUGUACGUGUAAAUUCAGUAGCAUUGAAAGUUGGGUUAUACAAUGUACAUAUUUUGCUGUUUUAAUGUUCCUAAACGAUCAUAUUGCCUUGUUCAUAUUAAUAUUUAAAUGUUUUAGUAAUACUCAAUAAAAAGUCAGAGUCUAAUGUAAUGUCUUAAUUACUUUCAUAAUCAUUGAUAUUCAUUUUUAUUUAAUGUAUCAACAUCACUACGUCAAAAAAUACAUGCGCGGAUCCAAAAAGAAUUCCAGGGGGGUCGGACGGUUAUUUGAGUUUGUCGGGGGGGGGGUCCGAGGCAUAUUUUUGGUAAUUUUAUAAUGUAAUUUAAAGAAAUUUUAAUUUUGCAAGGGGGGGGGGGGGGGUUCAGACCCCCCUCUAGAUCCUAGCAUGAAAUAAGCUUAGCUAAUGCAUGAUCUUGUUUUUGUAUAUGCCUUGCAAUAUUAUGUAGAAAUAAUCAAUGUGAUUGAGCAUUUUGGUGUGAAUAAUUGCAUGAAUUUUUAUAUCAUAAUCUGUAAUUUCACCAUUAAAACUAGUGCUCUA